rnacentral:rRNA from 1 species
GAUGAACGCUGGCGGCGUGCCUAAUACAUGCAAGUCGAGCGAACAGACGAGGAGCUUGCUCCUCUGACGUUAGCGGCGGACGGGUGAGUAACACGUGGAUAACCUACCUAUAAGACUGGGAUAACUUCGGGAAACCGGAGCUAAUACCGGAUAAUAUAUUGAACCGCAUGGUUCAAUAGUGAAAGACGGUUUUGCUGUCACUUAUAGAUGGAUCCGCGCCGCAUUAGCUAGUUGGUAAGGUAACGGCUUACCAAGGCAACGAUGCGUAGCCGACCUGAGAGGGUGAUCGGCCACACUGGAACUGAGACACGGUCCAGACUCCUACGGGAGGCAGCAGUAGGGAAUCUUCCGCAAUGGGCGAAAGCUUGACGGAGCAACGCCGCGUGAGUGAUGAAGGUCUUCGGAUCGUAAAACUCUGUUAUUAGGGAAGAACAAAUGUGUAAGUAACUAUGCACGUCUUGACGGUACCUAAUCAGAAAGCCACGGCUAACUAC